AUAUUAUUAUUAUUAUCAUUAUUAUUAUUAUUAUUUAUUAUUAUUAUUAUUAUUUUUAUUGUUAUUAUUAUUAAGAGAGUGAGAAAAGUCUUCAACAUCUUGUGAAACAGUUCAGAGGAAUAGGACUGAGUAUGAAUACAGGGGAAAGAAAGUAUUGAACAAAAAAUAUCUAUAACAAUAAGUUAUUUCUUAUCUUUUAAAAAUAGAUAUCUAAGAAGCUCUUCUUGUUCGUAUACAGUAUCAGAAAUGGUACUCACAAGAACUUGAGGAGGCAUUUCCUUCAAAUUGGAAUAAAACCUAGGGUUCAUGGGAACACUGGUCGCAUUCCUUGUCAUGCUGUUUCUGUGGAAGGCAUUAAAGAUGUAGUAGCAUUUUUGGAGAACUAUGCUGAAGACUACGCCUUUUACUACCUGGGAGGAUACCUGGAGUGAGGGAUUAUGGGAAGGCCAAGCUAUUGCUGUCCAGUGUGUCCCGACGCAUGGUUUACCAACAGUAUGCUGAUGCUGGUAGGGAACAUACUCUCUGUGAAAGUUCCUUUAAAAGAAUAUGGAGAAAGUAUAUUCCCCACAUUUACAGCAUCAAGGCAAUGACGAACUUAUGCUGGACUUGCAAAAAGAACAGCACUGCAAUUUUAAGGAAUGCUGGGUGUGAGAUUGAGCAUCAGUCUGAGAAGAAAAGGAGACAUCAUAGGGGUAAAUGGAAGCAUUGACGAGGUGGCGGGAGAGGAGCAGGAAGAGGAGGUGGCCAAGGAGGAGGAGAUGGACAAAAAAGAGGGGCAGCUGGCCAAGAAAGAGGGGGAGGUGGCCAAGGAAGCGGGGGAGGUGGCCAAGGAAGAGAGGGAGGUGGCCAAGGAAGAGGCCAAAGAGGAAGAGGAGCCCCUGCUACAACAGAUUCAUCCACAAGUGCAAAGACAAUAAACUAUUUUAACGUUACAUGUAAAGAACUUAAUUAUACUUCCAAAUAAAAAUAAUAUAUAUAUUACCUGUAAA